UACGGAGGGUGCAAGCGUUAUCCGGAUUUAUUGGGUUUAAAGGGUGCGUAGGCGGCUUUAUAAGUCGGUGGUUAAAGGCAGCAGCUUAACUGUAUGCAUGCCAUCGAUACUGUAAGGCUUGAGUGAUUUGGAGGUAGCUAGAAUUCCCUGUGUAGCGGUGAAAUGCAUAGAUACGGGGAGGAAUACCGAUUGCGAAGGCAUGUUACUACGAAUUAACUGACGCUGAGGCACGAAAGCGUGGGGAUCAAAC
rnacentral:rRNA from 1 species